AGUUAAAUUUUAUUUAUUGAUUUUUACUAUUAAAAACUGACAUGAUUGAUAGAGUAAUCAGACAAUUACACUGGAGUGCUACGUAUAUAUCAUGUCGAUAUGCAAAGAUCACUUUUUAAUAAUAGAAAUAGAUGAAAUUUUUAGCA
rfam:Gossypium raimondii Chr02_contig_29, whole genome shotgun sequence.